rnacentral:rRNA from 1 species
CCUACGGGCGGCAGCAGUGAGGAAUAUUGGUCAAUGGGCGGAAGCCUGAACCAGCCAAGUCGCGUGAGGGAUUAAGGCCCUGCGGGUCGUCAACCUCUUUUGCCGGGGAGCAGAGGUCCGGACGUGUCCGGGCCGGGAGAGUACCCGGAGAAAAAGCAUCGGCAAACUCCGUGCCAGCAGCCGCGGUAAUACGGAAGAUGCGAGCGGUAUUCGGAUUUAUUUGGUUUAAAGGGUGCGUAGGCCGGCAUUUAAGCCGGCGGUCAAAUGUCGGGGCUCACCCCCGGCCUGCCGUCGGAACUGGGUGCCUUGAGUGGGCGAGAAGAAUGCGGAAUGCGUGGUGUAGCGGUGAAAUGCAUAGAUAUCACGCAGAACCCCGAUUGCGAAGGCAGCAUACCGGCGCCCUACUGACGCUGAGGCACGAAAGUGCGGGUAUCGAACAGGAUUAGAUAGCCUUGUAGUC